rnacentral:rRNA from 1 species
CCUACGGGAGGCAGCAGUGGGGAAUUUUGCGCAAUGCUCGUAAGAGUGACGCAGCGACGCCGCGUGAAUGACGAAGGCCUUCGGGUCGUAAAGUUCUUUCGACAGGGAAGAAAAUGCCUAUAAGUAACUGUGUAUGUAUUGACGGUACCUGUAUAAGCAGCCCCGGCUAACUCCGUGCCAGCAGCCGCGGUAAUACGGAGGGGGCGAGCGUUGUUCGGAGUGACUGGGCGUAACGAGCACGUAGGCGGGGUUGUAAGUCAUUAGUCAAAGACUAGAGCUAAACUUUAGUAAGGCUAGUGAUACUAUAAUACGAGAGUAUCAGAGAGGAUUGCAGAAUUCCUGGUGUAGCGGUGAAAUGCGUAGAUAUCAGGAGGAAUACCGUUAGCGAAGGCGGCAAUCUGGCUGGAAACUGACGCUGAGGUGCGAAAGCGUGGGUAGCAAACAGGAUUAGAUACCCCUGUAGUC